UGCUGGAAUUCGCCCUUAGAGUUUGAUCAUGGCUCAGGACAAACGCUGGCGGUGUGCUUAAUACAUGCAAGUCGAACGAUAAGGUCUCUUCGGAGAUACAUAAGUGGCGGACGGGUGAGUAACACGUAGGAAAUCUGCCUCAAGGAGGGGGAUAACACCGGGAAACUGGUGCUAAUACCCCAUAUGUCAUAGCUUGAAAUAGUUAUGAUGAAAGUUCCGGCGCCUUGAGAUGAGCCUGCGUCUGAUUAGCUAGUUGGUGGGGUAAUUGCCUACCAAGGCGACGAUCAGUAGCUGGUCUGAGAGGAUGAUCAGCCACAAUGGGACUGAGACACGGCCCAUACUCCUACGGGAGGCAGCAGUAGGGAAUUUUGCGCAAUGGGCGAAAGCCUGACGCAGCAACACCGCGUGAGGGAUGAAGUUCUUUGGAGCGUAAACCUCUGUCAGUUGUGACUAAU
rnacentral:rRNA from 1 species